rnacentral:sRNA from 1 species
AUUCUGCCCAUACGGGGAGGGAUGAGAAGCUUCGUCCAAGGUGCGACUCGAACGCCAGCGAGAAAGCGUUGCCGCAGGCAACGACCCGAAGGGUGAAGCGCGCAGCGCUAGUAGUCCUUCCCCCACCACCA